rnacentral:rRNA from 1 species
AGUGAACGCUGGCGGUAGGCCUAACACAUGCAAGUCGAACGGCAGCACAGGAGAGCUUGCUCUCUGGGUGGCGAGUGGCGGACGGGUGAGGAAUACAUCGGAAUCUACUUUUUCGUGGGGGAUAACGUAGGGAAACUUACGCUAAUACCGCAUACGACCUACGGGUGAAAGCGGGGGACCUUCGGGCCUUGCGCGAUUGAAUGAGCCGAUGUCGGAUCAGCUAGUUGGCGGGGUAAAGGCCCACCAAGGCGACGAUCCGUAGCUGGUCUGAGGGGAUGAUCAGCCACACUGGAACUGAGAGACGGUCCAGACUCCUACGGGAGGCAGAAGUGGGGAAUAUUGGACAAUGGGCGCAAGCCUGAUCCAGCCAUACCGCGUGGGUGAAGAAGGCCUUCGGGUUGUAAAGCCCUUUUGUUGGGAAAGAAAUCCAGCUGGCUAAUACCCGGUUGGGAUGACGGUACCCAAAGAAUAAGCACCGGCUAACUUCGUGCCAGCAGCCGCGGUAA